GCAGCUGUGGCCUACUGUUUAGGGCUUCAGGCUUAAAACCAAAGGGCUGCAGGUUCGAUCCCUGACCAGUAGGA
rnacentral:tRNA from 1 species